CAACGCAUUAAUCUAUAUAAGUAGUCAUCAGUUUGCCCCUACCAAAUCCUGCAAUUCUCCACCCUGAAGUUAACCAUGCAUACAGCUUUCCUUCUCUUUAUCUUAACAAUAGGGACCUGUUCCUUUCAGUCUCUCGCUCAAAAAUGUCCUCUUCCUCCAAGGUGCCCUCCAAUUUCACCACCACCUCGUCCUCGUCCUUUCCCCCGCGUCCGCCCCAGGCCACCACUCUACCCUCCUUCACUCAAUCUCUUGCCACGCCAGCCAAACAACAAUCCAGGACCCCUCGCUAAUAGGGCUAGAAUUUUAUUCAUCACCCAGGAACUUAAAAGAAACAUUACAUUUGACCCUAGAAACUACACUGGCACCUGGGUUGGCAACAAUUACUGCCUUUUCAGAGGCUACUUCUGUGACACUGUCCCUGAUAGAAACAUUACUGGACUAGCCGCUAUUGAUUUCAAUGGUGCUAGAUUUCGCGGUAACUUGAACUUCUAUCGCUUUAUCAUGAAUUUGCCUGAUAUAGCCAUUUUCCAUGCAAAUUCUAACAACUUUAGCGGCCCCAUAAAUUCAAACCUCAACCAAUUGAGAUAUUUCUAUGAGCUUGAUUUGAGUAACAACAAGUUCUUGGGAGGAUUCCCCAGCAACGUUCUCAGAGCCCAGAAAUUAACCUUUGUGGACAUUCGGUUCAACGGCUAUCUCGGCCCUGUCCCGGGUCAGGCAUUCAACAUUGACACUGACGUUCUUUUCAUUAACAAUAAUCAGUUCAGUCGAACAAUCCCUACCAACUUCGGCAACACUCCUGCACUCUAUCUCACCUUAGCCAACAACAAGCUCACAGGUCCAAUCCCAAGAAGUAUCGGCCGAGCCUGGAAUACACUAACCGAGGCCCUCUUUUUAGGCAACAGGCUCACAGGUUGCCUGCCUUUCGAAAUCGGAUACUUGCAGAAGGCCACAGUGUUAGACUUCGGAACGAAUUUGCUAACAGGUCCGAUCCCACAAUCUUUUGGGUGCUUGGUGAAACUGCAGUAUCUGAACUUGGCUCAUAACAUGUUUUAUGGGCCAGUACCGGAGGUUUUGUGCAGGCUACCGAAUGCUUUCAAUUUUACGCUUACUUACAAUUAUUUCACCCAAGUUGGGCCCCAAUGCAGGAGGUUGAUAAGGGCAAGGAGGCUUAAUGUGAACAGUAACUGCAUUUUUGGGCUUCCUAAUCAAAGACCUGCGGCUGAGUGUGCCCGCUUUUUUUGCAAGGCCUAGGAGUUGUGCUCGCGAGAGUAGUUUUUCUUUUAUUCCUUGUACUCUUCCCGCAUCUUCUAUGAAGAUUGCUUCUCCUCCAACACAGGACGAAGCUCCUGCUCCGCAGUCCUAUAAAGCCCUGCAAAUGCCUCCCCAUUAAUCAAUAGUAGGUACAGAAUGGACUCCAUUGAUGUACUCAUCGUGUCUUCAAAUAAGAAAAUGUGUCGUGGUGUAGGUACGUACAGUACUGUGUUAUCCUCAUUUCUAUGGUGUUUUCCCUACUGUAUAGCACGUGUGAGGGAGCUUUCAUCUUCUGUUCAUUUUUUUUUUCCUUUUGUGUUUUCUUUCUCAUUUGCAUUGCGGUGAUCCACUCUUAGGAGCAGGAAAUUGGUGGGAUUGUUGAGUUGGAAAUAAAAAAUAAUUUUGAACAAAUAUCACUCUCAAAUUGAUUAUGAGAUGUGGAUUCAUGGGUGCGACUGUUUGAU
rnacentral:misc_RNA from 1 species